ACAAACAUUUUAGUGACAUUAGGAUAUCAUUACCCUUUAUCUAAAAACACAUUGAAGUGCAAAAAUAAUGUUACCCGUGUGGUAUCAGAGUUUCCCCAAUAAAGAUAAUUGAAAGUUACGUGAGAGUGAAAUUUAAUGCAGAAAGUGAAUCACUCAAGGGUUGAGAGGACAGUGUAGAAAAGAUAAAGCAUGAGGAUGCAAGGGAGUUGAUGGAGUACAAUUCAGAUUCAGAAAUGGCACACAGAUCUACUGUUUCACUGCUUCACACACUCAAUUCCAAAUCUUUCUGUUCAAAGUUUGAAGUCUAUCAUUUGAGACCACUAAUUUUUAAUUUGGGUAUACAAAAAAAUUAAACUUCA